rnacentral:rRNA from 1 species
AGUCCGUACGAGCGCACCCUUAUCCUUAUUUGCCAGCACUUCGGGUGGGAACUCUAAGGAGACUGCCGGUGACAAACCGGAGGAAGGUGGGGACGACGUCAAGUCAUCAUGGCCCUUACGACCAGGGCUACACACGUGCUACAAUGGCAAGUACAAAGGGACGCUAAGCCGCGAGGUGGAGCUAAUCCCAGAAAACUUGUCGUAGUCCGGAUUGGAGUCUGCAACUCGACUCCAUGAAGUCGGAAUCGCUAGUAAUCGUGAAUCAGAAUGUCACGGUGAAUACGUUCCCGGGCCUUGUACACACCGCCCGUCACACCAUGGGAGUGGAUUGCACCAGAAGUAGUUAGUCUAACCUUCGGGAGGACGAUUACCACGGUGUGGUUCAUGACUGGGGUGAAGUCGUAACAAGGUAGCCCUAGGGGAACCUGGGGCUGGAUCACCUCCUU